AUUGGUUCAUUACCAUCAUGAUUAAAAAGGGAAAGCGGUGUAAAUCCGCUACUGUCCCGCAGCUGUAAGUUGUCUGUCAUAGGUAAACAGAAGCCACUGGUUGAUAUAGAACUGGGAAGGCGUUUACCCUACUUUGGGCAAUAAGUCAGAAGACCUGCCAUUGUAAA
rnacentral:ncRNA from 1 species